GGUCACGUCACGUUGAAACACCGGUUCCCGUGCGAUCUUCGGUUAAGCAACGUCGAGCCUGGUCCGUUCCUAGAUGGGUAACCAUUUGGGAAUACCAGGUGAUGUAAG